rnacentral:tRNA from 1 species
CCUGGUGGCUCAGAUGGUUAAGAAUCUGCCUGCAAUGCAGGAGACCCAGGUUCAAUCCCUGGGUCAGGA